AGCUUCUAAGCCACUCUAUUGAGCUGUUGGAAAACGUCUUACAUUGAAAUUCUGAUUUAGAGAUAGGCACAAUCCAUCUGCUUUGCAUACCUUUGCCCUUUAAACCAGUAUUUGUGAUAUAAAGAAGCACACAGCUUGCAGAGUAGCUGGCAGAGAAAUCUUGAGGAGGAAUCUCUGCUCCCACUGCUGCAUUGCAGAGGCCAGAGAAACACAGCAAACUCUGAAUGGGAAUAGAGAAUAUCCACGUCAGUGUGUGAGUGGUGUCCAGAGCAGAUUAAGGAAAAAAAGACUCAUAUUUCAAAGGCAAGGAAGACCUUGGAUGUGCUGGUGUGUGCUUUGGAGUGCAAACCCAGUACAGCAAGAGUGGUACACUCAGAAUUGGGUAAUUCCAUUUCUUAUCUAGAAGAACACCAUGAACAGGUUAAAGGGGCAGAAGUGCAGCAAGCUAUUCCAGAUGCUCCAGUUGCAGUUUACCCACAUUUCUCAUUGCAACAUCCUAUGAAAAGGAAAACCUCACCAAUAAUUUACAAAGAGAAUCACAGAAUCAUUAAAGUUGGGAAAGACUCCCAAACUCAUCAAUCCCAGCUUUCUAAACACAAUUGAGGGAAAUAUUUACAGUAGCUUUAUUAUUAAGAACGUUGCUUAAGAAAAACAUAAAAACAGAAUAAAAAUAACUGAAAAUUAUAACAACUUGUAAUAACCUAUCUCAAAAUUUCUGAAAAACAGAAAAACCUCAAGAAGAAUCUCUCUGAUAGCUGGAUGAGUGAGUAACACAUUUUUGCUGGGAAGGGAGAAUGAAAAUCCAUCCUGAAGGAACAAGAGGUGGGAUAAAAACACCAGAGCUUAACCAUAAGCCAAGACCAGCCACAUACUACCAGUAGUAACUCAAAUUUUGAGGAAAGCUGAGGACACUCAUGAAAUAAUGAAAAUUUUCUUCCUGAAAUAAUGAAAAUUUUCCUCCUGAAAUAAUGACCAGCACAGGAAAAUGAAGACAUUCUGUGGGUGAGCAGACCAUUGCAGGCUGAACAUGAUCGAUUCUGCAUGGAGAGUUAAUAAUUUAUCAUUAAGGAACAAACUGAGAAAGACUUUAUGCUGUCAGUUCAUGCAGUGGGGAUAAAAGAAGAUAUUUAUUUGGUCCUGUUUUUGCAACAAUAAAAUUUGGAUUAAUUUACAACAGCAGUUCAAUGGAGAUGUCUGCUCCAUAAAGGGAGGGAAGGCAAAGAGGGAACCGUGGAGCAAAUAUAAUUGUCUUGAAAGCUGUGGUUUAACAGAAACAAGCCUGGAAAAGCUUCCUUGAGCCACUGAGUUAAGCCCAGCCCCUCCUUCUCUCACUGUAUAAAAUUCUCACCAGAGCUCACUCUGAAAGAACUGGAUGUAAAUAUAAAUCUUCAGCUGAAAUACAGCAGAAGUUCUACAGACCCCAGCAUGUUCACAUCUGUCACAGCUACUUUACAUUAAGACUUUCAGAAACUUGUGUUACAGCUCAGCCAUCAGAUUUGAUUUUCCUAUCACCUUGAACACCUAAAAAGAUUUUGGAGGCAUAUAUAUAUAUAUAUUUUAUUUUUUUUUAAAUCAUAAAGCAAUUUAAGUUCUGUUGGUUGAGCCCUGAUCAGGCUCAUAUUUGAGCAUGUGCUAAACUUCACUCAUAUAAACAACCCCAGAAUUGACAGCAGGGCUUCAAAAUGCCAUUUUGUUCCCCUGAAUAUUGAAAAAAAUAUGGCUGGUUUAAAAAUAUCCAUCAGCCUAACCAGCACAGCACAAUGCAAAGUGUGUCAGUCCACUGACAGAGAGGAAAAAUAGACGGGGAGCGUUGCUGUGAGCGAGCAGGGAUGACAAUCAGAAGGAAUAAUGCCAUUUCAGGUGUGGGGAUAUUUGUGUUUGCUCCUGGUGGCGAUGGCUGUGGCACCCAGCUCAUCCUCAGCGCUGUGGCAGCAGGGGAUGGAGCUGGAAUGCAGGAAACGACUCCCAGAGAUACCCACAGGUAAAAAUUAUGAAAACAUAUUCAGCAGUUGCAGCUCCUUCAGUCUAUCGGCUACAUAAAAGGCAUUUAUAAAAGAAGCCUAAAUACAUAUUUAACCAAUUGACCAGAAUGGCACUGAAGGAGUUUUAACAUAUUUUGAAAAAUUGCCUAAAUACAUAUUUACCCAAUAGACUGGAACAGCUGCUUCAGAGUCUCUCUGGUCUCUUGGGUCUGUAAUA